rnacentral:sRNA from 1 species
ACCACCUGAUUGACAAGCUAGAAAACAAAUUCCAAGCAGAAAUUGAAAAUAUGGCACACAAUGGCACUCCCCUGACUAACUACUACCAGCUCAGCCUGGACGUUUUGGCCUUGUGUCUGUUCAAUGGGAACUACUCAACCGCCGAAGUUGUCAACCACUUCACUCCUGAAAAUAAAAACUAUUAUUUUGGUAGCCAGUUCUCAGUAGAUACUGGUGCAAUGGCUGUCCUGGCUCUGACCUGUGUGAACAGGAGUCUAAUAAAUGGGCAGGUCAAAGCAGAUGAAGGCAAUUCG